UACGUAGGGUGCGAGCGUUUUCCGGAAUUACUGGGCGUAAAGAGCUCGUAGGUGGUUUGUCGCGUUGUUCGUGAAAACUCACAACUCAAUUGUGGGCGUGCGGGCGAUACGGGCAGACUGGAGUACUGCAGGGGAGACUGGAAUUCCUGGUGUAGCGGUGGAAUGCGCAGAUAUCAGGAGGAACACCGGUGGCGAAGGCGGGUCUCUGGGCAGUAACUGACGCUGAGGAGCGAAAGCGUGGGGAGCGAACAGG
rnacentral:rRNA from 1 species